rnacentral:rRNA from 1 species
GUCGAACGAGUUCUCGUUGAUGAUCGGUGCUUGCACCGAGAUUCAACAUGGAACGAGUGGCGGACGGGUGAGUAACACGUGGGUAACCUGCCCUUAAGUGGGGGAUAACAUUUGGAAACAGAUGCUAAUACCGCAUAGAUCCCAGAACCGCAUGGUUCUUGGCUGAAAGAUGGCGUAAGCUAUCGCUUUUGGAUGGACCCGCGGCGUAUUAGCUAGUUGGUGAGGUAAUGGCUCACCAAGGCGAUGAUACGUAGCCGAACUGAGAGG